rnacentral:snoRNA from 1 species
CCCCUCUCAGGAUCUCACCUGGAGAGUUUCCAGUCCUCUACCAGUCUCGGCUAUGGGAGGGAGAGUCGAGCAGAGGCCUGUCCAUUCCAUGCCUAUCUUGGCCAGUGGCUAGCGAGUGGAAGGCAAUCUGCUGCAAGU